UGGCGGCGUGCCUAAUACAUGCAAGUCGUACGCUUCUUUUUCCACCGGAGCUUGCUCCACCGGAAAAAGAAGAGUGGCGAACGGGUGAGUAACACGUGGGUAACCUGCCCAUCAGAAGGGGAUAACACUUGGAAACAGGUGCUAAUACCGUAUAACAAUCGAAACCGCAUGGUUUUGAUUUGAAAGGCGCUUUCGGGUGUCRCUGAUGGAUGGACCCGCGGUGCAUUAGCUAGUUGGUGAGGUAACGGCUCACCAAGGCCACGAUGCAUAGCCGACCUGAGAGGGUGAUCGGCCACAUUGGGACUGAGACACGGCCCAAACUCCUACGGGAGGCAGCAGUAGGGAAUCUUCGGCAAUGGACGAAAGUCUGACCGAGCAACGCCGCGUGAGUGAAGAAGGUUUUCGGAUCGUAAAACUCUGUUGUUAGAGAAGAACAAGGAUGAGAGUAACUGUUCAUCCCUUGACGGUAUCUAACCAGAAAGCCACGGCUAACUACGUGCCAGCAGCCGCGGUAAUACGUAGGUGGCAAGCGUUGUCCGGAUUUAUUGGGCGUAAAGCGAGCGCAGGCGGUUUCUUAAGUCUGAUGUGAAAGCCCCCGGCUCAACCGGGGAGGGUCAUUGGAAACUGGGAGACUUGAGUGCAGAAGAGGAGAGUGGAAUUCCAUGUGUAGCGGUGAAAUGCGUAGAUAUAUGGAGGAACACCAGUGGCGAAGGCGGCUCUCUGGUCUGUAACUGACGCUGAGGCUCGAAAGCGUGGGGAGCAAACAGGAUUAGAUACCCUGGUAGUCCACGCCGUAAACGAUGAGUGCUAAGUGUUGGAGGGUUUCCGCCCUUCAGUGCUGCAGCUAACGCAUUAAGCACUCCGCCUGGGGAGUACGACCGCAAGGUUGAAACUCAAAGGAAUUGACGGGGGCCCGCACAAGCGGUGGAGCAUGUGGUUUAAUUCGAAGCAACGCGAAGAACCUUACCAGGUCUUGACAUCCUUUGACCACUCUAGAGAUAGAGCUUCCCCUUCGGGGGCAAAGUGACAGGUGGUGCAUGGUUGUCGUCAGCUCGUGUCGUGAGAUGUUGGGUUAAGUCCCGCAACGAGCGCAACCCUUAUUGUUAGUUGCCAUCAUUCAGUUGGGCACUCUAGCAAGACUGCCGGUGACAAACCGGAGGAAGGUGGGGAUGACGUCAAAUCAUCAUGCCCCUUAUGACCUGGGCUACACACGUGCUACAAUGGGAAGUACAACGAGUCGCGAAGUCGCGAGGCUAAGCUAAUCUCUUAAAGCUUCUCUCAGUUCGGAUUGUAGGCUGCAACUCGCCUACAUGAAGCCGGAAUCGCUAGUAAUCGCGGAUCAGCACGCCGCGGUGAAUACGUUCCCGGGCCUUGUACACACCGCCCGUCACACCACGAGAGUUUGUAACACCCGAAGUCGGUGAGGUAACCUUUUGGAGCCAGCCGCCUAAGGUGGGAUAGAUGAUUGGGGUGAAGUCGUAACAAGGUAGCC
rnacentral:rRNA from 1 species